UACGAAGGGUGCGAGCGUUAUUCGGAAUCACUGGGCGUAAAGGGUGCGUAGACGGUAUGUUAAGUUCGUUGUUAAAGGCUCCGGCCUAACCGGAGUAUUGCGAUGAAAACUGGCAAGCUAGAGGGUGAGAGAGAGAAGUGGAAUUCCCGGAGUAGCGGUAAAAUGCGUGGAUCUCGGGAGGAACACCAAUGGCGAAGGCAGCUUCUUGGCUCAUUCCUGACGUUGAGGCACGAAAGCGUGGGGAGCAAACAGG
rnacentral:rRNA from 1 species